rnacentral:rRNA from 1 species
AACGAACGCUGGCGGCAUGCCUAACACAUGCAAGUCGAACGAGGCCCUUCGGGGUUUAGUGGCGCACGGGUGCGUAACGCGUGGGAAUCUGCCCUUUGGUUCGGAAUAACAGCUGGAAACGGCUGCUAAUACCGGAUGAUGACGAAAGUCCAAAGAUUUAUCGCCAGAGGAUGAGCCCGCGUUGGAUUAGGUAGUUGGUGGGGUAAAGGCCUACCAAGCCGACGAUCCAUAGCUGGUCUGAGAGGAUGAUCAGCCACACUGGGACUGAGACACGGCCCAGACUCCUACGGGAGGCAGCAGUGGGGAAUAUUGGACAAUGGGCGCAAGCCUGAUCCAGCAAUGCCGCGUGAGUGAUGAAGGCCCUAGGGUUGUAAAGCUCUUUUACCCGGGAAGAUAAUGACUGUACCGGGAGAAUAAGCCCCGGCUAACUCCGUG